rnacentral:rRNA from 1 species
AUACGUAGGGGGCGAGCGUUGUCCGGAAUGACUGGGCGUAAAGGGCGUGUAGGCGGCCGAUUAAGUCUGGAGUGAAAGUCCCGCUUUCAAGGUGGGAAUUGCUUUGGAGACUGGUUGGCUUGAGUGCGGAAGAGGUAAGUGGAAUUCCCAGUGUAGCGGUGAAAUGCGUAGAGAUUGGGAGGAACACCAGUGGCGAAGGCGACUUACUGGGCCGUAACUGACGCUGAGGCGCGAAAGCGUGGGGAGCGAACAGGAUUAGAUACCCUGGUAGUCCACGCUGUAAACGAUGAAUGCUAGGUGUAGGGGGUAUCGACCCCUCCUGUGCCGGAGUAAACGCAAUAAGCAUUCCGCCUGGGGAGUACGGCCGCAAGGUUGAAACUCAAAUGAAUUGACGGGG